rnacentral:lncRNA from 1 species
UCUCUCUCUCUCUCUCUCUCUCUCACACACACACACACACACGUGUGUGCACACCAAAAAAAACAACUUUAUUUUCAUUUUUAAAACAUAACCCCGAGAACCCCAGACGAGCGCUUGUAAAACUUCUACAUCACAUCAAUGGUCUCCAUUCAAUGUUGAAAAUGUGAAGGAAUGGCCAUAAACUUCCACCACAGGAGCACCGCACAGGAACUGGCCAGAUUUUAACACUAUCCAAUGUCUCUAACAAAUCAUCUUGCAUCUUUAGUUCCUGGAGAUUUGUUAUCCUCUCCCCUUUCUAAAAGACUGGUUCCAUUACACUGGGUUUGGGGUUAUGUCGUAUCGAACACCCAACAUAGGUAAGAGCAUGAAUAUGUGUGCAAUACGAGUCGUUGGACAUCACCUGUCAAAUGUUCCUAGUUAUUAGAGUAUACUACAUAACUAUGCAUAAGAAAAAAAUAUAUACACUUCAUUGCCUUUUGUAAACACAGUUUGCCCUAGAAAAUACAAGCAGCAUAUGAAGAAAUAUGAAUAUUUGGCAUGUCCAUGCGUCUGUUAGACAUUGGGAUUAGAUAAAUCUGAUAUUGACAUGCACCAGCACUAGACCGGGUACACUCGUCAUUGUUUGUAACAUACGUUUGGGAAUAAUGCUUAUGAAAUUAGAUAGAUGUUUCAUGUUUGCAUCCAGCUGGAGUGGAUGACCUUUAUUUGUAUGACAAUUGCAAAAUCUCUUUUGACGGUAACAUUAUUAGGGGUUUGAGUGCUCAUGUACUGCCUCUCUUUGCCGGAAAACUGAGGAGAGGAGAUUGAUUUGAUGAUGUCGCGGGGUGGAGGUUUGUAGACAGACAAUUGCUGGCAAUAUUAUUGUGGGCACUAUUUGCCUUCUCCAAUAAGGUGGCCUGGUAAGAAAUUAUAAUCAUUCCAACGGUACCGACUCAACAAACAUCAGUCCUUGAUUUUUUUUUGGUUUUCCUGUUUCUAAUGAAAACUGAUUCCGGUUUCAAGGUCCUCCUCAUCCAAUCCAUCGAAGACUUGAUGAACUUUCAAACCCUCCUUCAGGUCCCUCUGGUGGCGGGGACUGUGAACCGUGGUAGCGAAGUGAUAGGUGCUGGCUUUAUGUAACGACUGACAGCGUUUUUGGUGGAUCAGACACUCCCAAAAAAAGCAACAGAAUUGUCAGUGAUUUGAGAGCGUCCUUCAAGUUGAGAGAAGCCCAACCUAGUACCAUCGUUGAUGAGAUGAGGAGAAAUCGUUGCUCGACAGUUAGUUUGAGCAUUGAUUCUUGGUCUCAACGACAUUGGCCUUGGUUUCGUGGAGUUGAGGACACUGCCCUUGUUAAUUGUUGGUGUGCUUUCAGUGAUGAAAUAUUUUCGUUGUUUUUCUUCUGUCCUAUUUACAAGCUACGAAUAUUGUGUGUGUGAGGGGGUUAGUCCUUGAGUGCACAUACUCUUUAGUGAUUAUAUUUUUACUGUUUUCGCAAGCUCAGCUCCUAAUAUAGAUGUUUGAUGAUAUCUUUUAAGAUUGUGUCAUUUAUAUAAAUUUGGGUAAAUUUCACUUACCUCCCCUAAGGUUUAUGACAAAUACAAUUAUGUUUCUGUAAUUUUAAAAAUAGUAUUUAUCUCUUUUUAUCUUUUUCUUUUUUUUUUGAAUUACAAAGUUAACAUUUUAACUGAGAAGAGAUGAAUGUGUGUGUGUGUUGAGGUAAAAAUACGAGGACAGCAACCAACCUUUACAAUUGCUCAAAGUAGAUUUUGGUUACUUGCAUUGGGAACAAACGUUAAUAGUUGGGUGAAAGUACUCAAAAUUUCUCUACGCGUGGCGAUCAGAUCUUAAGGGAGAAGAUAAAACUUUGAAUAUAAAAAGCUCUUGAUAAAUGAACCAGAUCUUAAGGGAGAAGAUAAAACUUUGAAUAUAAAAAGCUCUUGAUAAAUGAACAAUUGAUCUUACCAUUUUUCUGAAGAUAGGAGAACGAUUUUUAUAGGUGGAGGAUCUCUCAACUGAGUGAGGAGAUCAUGGCGCAAUUAUAGGAUUCAAUCGUGUGAGGAGAUUAUGGCGUCAUUGUAGGAGAUUGUGGUAGAAAGAGGACCCCCCCCCAGAGGAGGUCUGCGCAUGUUGUUGAAAACGUUGACGACAUGAACAAUCAAGUGAGAGUAAUUGAUAAUAUGAACUACUAGAUAUAGAUCAUAAGCGAUGUAGGACAACGUGGACAACUGAGUGAUGAUUGUGGACGAUCUAUUGUCGACGUGUCUAUCUUGGAAUAGACUAUUUUCUCUUAAGAAAUCGUCGAUUUAAAUAAGUGAAGUUUUAUUGCUCAUCAAUAUAUAUAUUAAAUUUAUAUAUUUUAUUCAUGUGGACCAUACAAAGUAUAUGUUGACUUUAACUCAAUUCAUAUACAAAAGUAAGACAUAUUUCGAAGAGAAGUGUUCAGACGGGCGCGCACCUAUCUGAACACUUCUCUAUUUUGAAUUGUGCUCAAUAUUCUUUCGUGUCAUUAAAAGCAUAU